rnacentral:lncRNA from 1 species
GGCGGGCACUAUGGAAGACAGCAGCAUACAAUUAACUAUGAGACAGCCUCUCAGGGUGCUUACAAUUCAGAUGGAGCUAAGGCGUGUGUAUAAAACAAGUAUCUGAAACUGCCAACUGAACUGCUCCCGGGAAGGGACAGAAAUAAACCCAUUUUUCAGCAAUGUCUUAAUCCAAGGUCAGAAUUCUAAAUUUUUACUACUGUAAAAAUCAUCAAGCUUAACUAAACAUCAGAUCUUAAAUUUACUUAUUUUAGCAGCUUUAACCAAGUACUAGGAAUAUUAUAACACACAUACCUUAUUUUAAUAUACUCAUUUUUUAGAAGUUUCAAUUACACACAGAAUAUCGCACAUUUUACAAUAUAACAGAAACUCUGACAGUGACUAAAAAAUAUUCUGAAAUAAAGCGAAGGCCUGUGCUAAACUAAAGAUGAGAAAUGUUUUGUUCUGAUUAAAUUGCCAUGAAACUUUUGAUGGUAAUAAAAUUAAACUAAUAAUGAUGGCUAAAAUAUCUAACUUUUGAACCUUUCAGGUUUUCAAUGGUCUACAUUCUUGGGAAUGAAAAAAUAGUUAU